CAGAUUCAAUUUUAUCUCCUCCAGUUAAACAUCAAUCCUAACCCACUUUGUUACUUGACUUUACAAAGUUACCCACUUAUGCUUCAACCCUAACCUUAACUCAUUUUUAGGUCAUCAUUAUUCUCAUUCAUCAUCUUUUCCUUUCUUCUCCCACAAGCCAUUACAUGCCUGGCAUGGUGACACUAGGACCCUCCUAAAUCUUAACCUCUCCUCCCUUCUCUCCAUGAGCCACCAUAACUUCCCAAGCCACCAAGCCUCAACGAGCUGCCACAUGGAAUUUCCAAGCCACCACAACUCCUUGACCCUCAGCCGCCAAGCCUCUGCGAGCAUAUACAUGGAGUGCUCAUAAUUACCUCAGGAUUUGGCGCCAAAUGCCAUGGGCAUAGAGUCAUCAUCAACUUCCAGCAUCAUCAAUGUAAAUCACAAGUCAAAACUAGAAAUCAAGUGUAGCAAAUAACAUAAUCAUAAUGGGCACGAUUUUAGCAAUAAUUAUCAUAGUUUGUGUGUGUGUGUGAUCUAAAUAUAUGUAACGAUGGUGUUUCAAAUACUCUAAUUAUAUGCGUACAUAUAUUUUCUUAACUAGGUUGA